GGUUCUAUAGUGUAGCGGUUAUCACACAGGAUUCUGAGUGAGAAAAUUCCUGUAACCCCGGUUCGAUUCCGGGUAGGACCU